AAUGGAGACAUUUUUAGAAGUAUAAAAGCUGAAAAAAAUUUAACAUUAUCAGACUUACAAGAAAUGUUAAAUGUUGCUUCACAGGCAAAAAGAAAAAAGUACCAGAAGUAACUCUGAAUCAACACAAAGAAACAAAGAGCAACUGAAAGGGUACAGAAUCAAGCAAGAAUUGGCUAGGUGAUUCUUCUGCUGCACCUGGCUAGGCUUGGCUGAAACUCAGGGACAGCUCCUCUAAUGUGCCUGUUACCUUGAGGACAUCUGGAAGACUGAAUUCAUCAGGGCCCCUUUCCCUCAGUAUGUAUUCUCAAACCUCUCUGUAGUGUCUCUCCAGCAAGCUAAUUAAAGCCUCUUAAAUGAAGGUUCAGGGCUCCAAAUGCUAGUGUUUCAAAAGUCCUGGAAAGUAGUGCAAGACUUUCUAUGACCUAGCCACAGAAGUCCCAAAACAUCACUCUGACACAUUCUUUCCAUCAAACAAGUCACUAAGGCUGGCCCACAUGCAAGGGGAGGAGAGUUACACUCUGUGGGACAAAAGGAGUAGCAAAGAAUCUGCAACAUCUUUAAUCUACUACAUACGCAUCUCCUGAGAGCAAUUAAAUCAGAAUCUCUAUGGAUGGAGUUUUGCAUCAGUGUCAUUUUAAAGCUCCUUGAUUCUAAUGUGCACCUAAGGCUGAGAAUCACUGAACUAGAGUAAAUGCCACUAGUAAUUUUCCAGUCAUUAUUCCAUUUGUCAAUUCUUUUUAAAUGAACUUCAAAAAAUAGUUUACUUCCUAUUUUUGCAAAGCAGCCACCCUGAUGAAAAAUGAAUAAUGUGUGCAAUUCUUGAGCUACAUUAAUUCUUAUACACAAAAAAUAAUGUUGCUAAUCUAUCCUCAGGAGACAGAACUAUUUAAGAUAAUUUUUCAAUAUCUGUGAAAGAUUUGUGUUGAUUUAUGUUGUCUUUGCUUUCCAGUUGUUUCUUAUAAAGGAUUUGCCUGAUUAGCAGUUUUCUAAUCAGUUGCUAUGUUUACAAAUAUAUUAAUCUCAUCUGUAACUAC
rnacentral:lncRNA from 13 species